AAAAAAAAAAUUAAGAAGAAAAAAAAAAUUGCUGGAAGUCUCGUAGGUUGUGCAGCAUAGAGAAUAAGAGAAGAAUGAGACAAAAGAAGAAAAAAAAAUUAAAAAGAAAAAAAAUUGAAGUGUUGGAAGUCUGGUAGGUUGAGCACCCUGAAGAGAAUAAGAGAAGAAGGGUACAAAAGAAGAAAAAAAAUAGAAAAGAGAAAAAAACCCACUGAUUGCGGGUCUAACCAGGUUGCACAGCGUGAGACUGAGAGGAG
rnacentral:misc_RNA from 1 species